UUCUUGCUGGGAGGUUUGUGACUUGGGUGGCGUCAAUAGGUCCCCCUAACGAGUACUAUCCGGGAUUUGUCCCUCGUCGUGGAGAGCAGGCCCUUCUGCAAGGGUAGCCGGAAGCGAUGAUAUGAAGCCCACCUUCUAAUUCAGAAGGGGAUAUGACUACACCCACACGGCCAACUCGGCAUCGGC
rnacentral:other from 1 species